AUGUAUAAAGAGCUGACAAAGGGUCAACAAGCUGCACCACUUUUCAAAAAGCUCUGGAAGAAUGCAACCAUGCUUCGAUACAAGAUCUUUUUCUGGCUCUUAUUGCAUGACAGGGUCAAUACCAGAAACAUGCUUCAACGAAGAUCAUUUCACUUGCCUUCCUAUAAUUGUGCACUUUGUCAAAUGAGCACGGAGGAAACAUAUCAACAUCUAUUUUGGGACUGUGACUUUGCAUUUAAUUGUUGGCAAUCCCUUUUGGGUCCCAGACGUAGAGGAUUCUCCAUCUUUGAUGAGGUCUCAUUUGCCAUUCAGACCUUGCCUACUGCUUUUGCCAUGGAAAUCAUGAUUAUGGGAUGUUGGAACAUCUGGAUACAAAGAAAUGACAAAAUCUUCAAGGAAAAACAGGCCACAAUCCAAGCUUGGAAGGCCUCACUCAAGGCUGACCUAUAG
rnacentral:rRNA from 1 species